AAGGAUCAUUAACGAGUUUUGAAAGGGGUUGCAGCUGGCCAUCCUUGUCGGAGGCAUGUGCUCGCCCUGCUCAAUCCACUCUACACCUGUGAACUUACUGUGGGUCUUGGUGGGCCUUCGUCCUUCCGGGGGCGUCGGCUUUAACCUGGCCUACGUUUUAUUUACAAACACUUUUAAAGUAUCGAGAAUGUCUACUGCGAUAUAACGCAUUUAUAUACAACUUUCAGCAACGGAUCUCUUGGCUCUCGCAUCGAUGAAGAACGCAGCGAAAUGCGAUAAGUAAUGUGAAUUGCAGAAUUCAGUGAAUCAUCGAAUCUUUGAACGCACCUUGCGCUCCUUGGCAUUCCGAGGAGCACGCCUGUUUGAGUGUCGUGAAAUUCUCAACCUACAAAUCUUUUUUGUAGGCUUGGACUUGGAGGCUUUGCCGACGUUUUCUAAUGCCGGCUCCUCUCAAAUGCAUUAGCUUGUGUCCUUGCGGAUCGGCUCUUCGGUGUGAUAAUUGUCUACGCCGUGGUCGUGAAGCGUUUUUGACCGGCUUCUAAUGGUCUCGUUUACGAGACAAGUAUCAUUUUUCAAAUGACAAUCUGACCUCAGAUCAGGCGGGACUACCCGCUGAACUUAA
rnacentral:rRNA from 1 species